rnacentral:rRNA from 1 species
UACGUAGGGGGCAAGCGUUGUCCGGAUUUAUUGGGCGUAAAGAGCGUGUAGGCGGUUCGGUAGGUCCGUUGUGAAAACUCGAGGCUCAACCUGUGAAUGCCGCUGGAAACUGUCUGGCUAGAGUCCGGAAGGGGCGAGUGGAAUUCCUGGUGUAGCGGUGAAAUGCGCAGAUAUCAGGAGGAACACCAAUGGCGAAGGCAGCUCGCUGGAACGGUACUGACGCUGUGGCGCGAAAGCGUGGGGAGCGAACAGG